rnacentral:tRNA from 5 species
GGCCUGAUGGUCUAGGGGUAUGAUUCUCGCUUAGGGUGCGAGAGGUCCCGGGUUCAAAUCCCGGUCAGGCCC